rnacentral:lncRNA from 1 species
GGCUGAUGGUGUGAAUGUCCGUAUGUAAGCAUCUGCAUGUAAGCAUCUGUUUGUGUGCUUCCGGAUGUUAAUUCAUUGCUCAGAGAUGGAGCUCGGCUGUGCUGCCCAGAGGCCAUAGGCUAAACGGGUGGUUGUGCUUGUUGCUGGUGUUUAUCUCCCUCCAGCAUAUCAAGGAAGCUGUAAGCUCGGCAACCGUUCUCCCAAUUGCUUUCUCUACAUAAACUGCUUAAGGGAAGUACGCUAUGUACAUAAGCCUCUUCACCAAAAAAAAAAAAAAAAAAAAAAAGCCAAACCAGCGUGAAUAGCAAUCAAUAGAAACAGCAGCCAGCGUGCUGAUAACCGCCAAGGAAGCACGAAGCCCGUGUAGCUGUGACAUCGCUGCCGGCGGGUGCUGCUGACUCACAACGAGCACCGGCAGCCCGCGGGCACGGAGCAGCGCUCGGACUUCGGCUCCGGGAAGUGCCGGCAGCGCGUUGUUCCCCGCGGGACGCCGUGCUGCUUUACCAGCAAGAACCUGCCGCUCUGCUCUGCGGAGCCGCGUGGGGCUUUUCGUUUCUUUCAUGCGAAGAUCCAACUGCAGCCAUGCCGAUGGAAGCGGACUGCCUGAGCCCAGAGGCUCAGAAACUGGCUGAAGCGAGGCUGGCGGCAAAGCGAGCAGCACGGGCAGAGGCACGGGAGAUCCGGAUGAAGGAACUCGAGCGGCAGCAGAAAGAGGCUUCGGAUGAAGAUGAGCGCAUGUCAGUGGGUAGCCGUGGAAGCCUGAGGGUUGGUAAAUUGUACAAUUUAAGUGUGCAUGUGUGUGUACUGAAGCUGCUGUCCUCCCAUAUCACAGAAUCACUGUUCUGCACCUUUUCUAAGUUCUCUGCAAACAUUUUCCUUCCAAGGUCAUGCUGUUUUCUGUGCUCGAGACGUGUGUUUUUGCACUGCUACAUUUAGGCCAAUAAUUCCUUCAACCCAAGGAACUGUCUGAUUUCUACUCGCUGUUGAGAAACGUGAGCAAAGCGUGUGAUGCAUACCCUUCUGGUUAAUGCUGCUCGUUGUCUUGUCACAGGAAGAACUUAGCCAAAGCUUCAACCUGUGCAGCUGUAUGUGCUUUGUAAGCUCCCUUGCUUGAUAGUCAACGUGGAGAAUUUGGGGAAUGAAGUGCCA